CACCGGCAGCUCUAGUGGUAGCAGUUUUUAUUGGGCCUAAAGCGUCCGUAGCCGGUUUAAUAAGUCUCUGGUGAAAUCCUGUAGCUUAACUGUGGGAAUAGCUGGAGAUACUAUUAGACUUGAGACCGGGAGAGGUUAGAGGUACUCCCAGGGUAGAGGUGAAAUUCUGUAAUCCUGGGAGGACCGCCUGUUGCGAAGGCGUCUAACUGGAACGGUUCUGACGGUGAGGGACGAAAGUUAGGGGCGCGAAUCGGAUUAGAUACCCGGGUAGUCCUAACUGUAAACGAUGCGGACUUGGUGUUGGGGUGGCUUUGAGCUGUUCCAGUGCCGAAGGGAAGCUGUUAAGUCCGCCGCCUGGGAAGUACGGUCGCAAGACUGAAACUUAA
rnacentral:rRNA from 1 species